UGGGGAAUAUUGCACAAUGGGCGCAAGCCUGAUGCAGCAACGCCGCGUGAGGGACGACGGCCUCCGGGUUGUAAACCUCUUUUGGCAGGGAAGAAGCGAAAGUGACGGUACCUGCAGAAAAAGCACCGGCUAACUACGUGCCAGCAGCCGCGGUAAUACGUAGGGUGCGAGCGUUAAUCGGAAUUACUGGGCGUAAAGGGUGCGCAGGCGGUCUUGCAAGUCAGAUGUGAAAGCCCCGGGCUUAACCUGGGAAUUGCGUUUGAAACUACAAGGCUAGAGUGCAGCAGAGGGGAGUGGAAUUCCAUGUGUAGCAGUGAAAUGCGUAGAGAUGUGGAAGAACACCGAUGGCGAAGGCAGCUCCCUGGGUUGACACUGACGCUCAUGCACGAAAGCGUGGGGAGCAAAC
rnacentral:rRNA from 1 species